CAGUGCUUGCCCCAGGGAUCAUUUUUAUGUAAUUCCUUCCAAGAGAUUUACCAGAAAGUGCAGAGCGCCAGAAACCACUUGGAGGAGGAGCAGUGUUCUCUGCUGAAGAUGAAGCCAGCUGUUGGUGUUGCUUUGCUGUAACUGGUGUUUGCCAUGGGUGGUGGUUCUUUUCUUUGGGAGAGUAACAGGGAGAGAAUGUUGUCUGAUUGGC